UUUGACCGAACCCAGCCACAGCGGCCGGUCGGCGGGCCGCUGCUGCCCGUAGGUGGCCAGCAGCGCCUGGGCUUC
rnacentral:antisense_RNA from 1 species